rnacentral:lncRNA from 1 species
GAAGGUUUGAAUAAAGCCAGAAGGAAGUGAAAGGAAGCCCUGUGGCUAGCUGAGGGGUGGGCACUCCAAGACUCCAAGUAGUUAAUGUUAUACACCUAAGUUCCGCUUGAAAAGAGAGAAACGGUCUGGUGUUUCCUGCUGUUGGAGGUCUGGGACAUGAGGACAAACCAGCACAAAUUUCAUGGAAAUAGGAAGGUGCACAGGAGAUGACGGUGUUCUGGAAACUCAGUGGAGAAAAGACUUAAGGAGGAUAAAGUGACCCAGACUGUCAAAUGCUGCCGCCAGUUGAGUGAGCAGAGAACAGAGGACGGAGGAGCAGCACGGGGGGGACAGCUACAGCAGAAAACAAGGCCUAUACAGGGCAUAAGGACCAUUAGAAAAAUUUACUCCUUCAGAGGAGCGUUGUCUCAGGAUGCGAAAGAGCUGCUGAGGGAGGGAGGCUCCCUGAACACUUACCAAACAGAAGCAAGAUGGCAGACCGACUGCCACCACUGAGUGCCACCCAACAUCCAAGCAAGACCCGAUCCUAAUCUUAGACAAGACUUUCCAGAGAACCAGUGAAGAGGAGACCCCGUCCAUGUCAUUUUAUGAGGCCGUCAUAACCUCGAUGCCAAAACCUGACAAGGACACAAGGAAGGGAAAAUUAUAGGCC